rnacentral:rRNA from 1 species
AUUGAACGCUGGCGGCAGGCUUAACACAUGCAAGUCGAACGGUAACAUAAAGAAGCUUGCUUCUUUGAUGACGAGUGGCGGACGGGUGAGUAAUGCUUGGGAAUCUAGCUUAUGGAGGGGGAUAACUACGGGAAACUGUAGCUAAUACCGCGUAAUAUCGAAAGAUUAAAGUGUGGGACCUUCGGGCCACAUGCCAUAGGAUGAGCCCAAGUGGGAUUAGGUAGUUGGUGAGGUAAAGGCUCACCAAGCCGACGAUCUCUAGCUGGUCUGAGAGGAUGACCAGCCACACUGGGACUGAGACACGGCCCAGACUCCUACGGGAGGCAGCAGUGGGGAAUAUUGCGCAAUGGGGGCAACCCUGACGCAGCCAUGCCGCGUGAAUGAAGAAGGCCUUCGGGUUGUAAAGUUCUUUCGGUAGCGAGGAAGGCAUUUAGUUUAAUAGACUAGGUGAUUGAC